rnacentral:lncRNA from 1 species
CAUAUGCAUGAAGGGCAUAAGGAAUUUGGACCCGAGGAUUUUCUAAUGUGGAGUAAGAAGAGAACCGCCCCAUCUGACCCAUUUCCUAGCGUUUCCGCUAUCCUCACCUACGUGCAGAUCCAAAUAAGUCCAAUCAAGACCAAUCUAGUUUUUUUUUCUCUUUUUGGUGCAAGGUAGACCAGAUGCCAAAGCAGUAACUUACAAAACAUCUACAACACGGCC